CCUACGGGGGGCUGCAGUGGGGAAUAUUGCGCAAUGGGGGAAACCCUGACGCAGCAACGCCGCGUGGGUGAUGAAGGUUUUCGGAUCGUAAAACCCUGUUUUCUGGGACGAUAAUGACGGUACCAGAUGAGGAAGCCACGGCUAACUACGUGCCAGCAGCCGCGGUAAUACGUAGGUGGCAAGCGUUGUCCGGAUUUACUGGGCGUAAAGGGUGCGUAGGCGGAUGCUUAAGUGAGAUGUGAAAUACCUAGGCUUAACUUAGGGGCUGCAUUUCAAACUGGGCAUCUAGAGUACAGGAGAGGGAAACGGAAUUCCUAGUGUAGCGGUGAAAUGCGUAGAGAUUAGGAAGAACACCAGUGGCGAAGGCGGUUUCCUGGACUGUAACUGACGCUGAGGCACGAAAGCGUGGGUAGCAAACAGGAUUAGAUACCCCAGUAGUC
rnacentral:rRNA from 1 species